UGGGGAAUAUUGCACAAUGGGGGAAACCCUGAUGCAGCGACGCCGCGUGAGCGAAGAAGUAUUUCGGUAUGUAAAGCUCUAUCAGCAGGGAAGAAGAAAUGACGGUACCUGACUAAGAAGCACCGGCUAAAUACGUGCCAGCAGCCGCGGUAAUACGUAUGGUGCAAGCGUUAUCCGGAUUUACUGGGUGUAAAGGGAGCGCAGGCGGUACGGCAAGUCUGAUGUGAAAGCCCGGGGCUCAACCCCGGUACUGCAUUGGAAACUGUCGGACUAGAGUGUCGGAGGGGUAAGUGGAAUUCCUAGUGUAGCGGUGAAAUGCGUAGAUAUUAGGAGGAACACCAGUGGCGAAGGCGGCUUACUGGACGAUUACUGACGCUGAGGCUCGAAAGCGUGGGGAGCAAACA
rnacentral:rRNA from 1 species